GAUCAACGCUGGCGGCGUGCUUAACACAUGCAAGUCGAACGAAGUUUUUCCUUCGGGAGAAACUUAGUGGCGGACGGGUGAGUAACGCGUGGGUAACCUGCCCUGUACAGGGGGACAACAGCUGGAAACGGCUGCUAAUACCGCAUAAGCCCUUAGCACUGCAUGGUGCAUAGGGAAAAGGGGCAAUCCGGUACAGGAUGGACCCGCGUCUGAUUAGCCAGUUGGCAGGGUAACGGCCUACCAAAGCGACGAUCAGUAGCCGAUCUGAGAGGAUGUACGGCCACAUUGGGACUGAGACACGGCCCAGACUCCUACGGGAGGCAGCAGUGGGGAAUAUUGCACAAUGGAGGAAACUCUGAUGCAGCGACGCCGCAUGAGUGAAGAAGUAUUUCGGUAUGUAAAGCUCUAUCAGCAGGGAAGAAAAUGACGGUACCUGACUAAGAAGCACCGGCUAAAUACGUG
rnacentral:rRNA from 1 species